rnacentral:rRNA from 1 species
ACGGCUGAGUAACGCGUGGGAACGUGCCCCAAAGUGAGGAAUAACUGCCCGAAAGGGUAGCUAAUACCGCAUAUUAUCUUCGGAUCAAAGGAUUUAUCCGCUUUGGGAGCGGCCCGCGUCGGAUUAGGUAGUUGGUGAGGUAAUGGCUCACCAAGCCGACGAUCCGUAGCUGGUCUGAGAGGAUGACCAGCCAGACUGGAACUGAGACACGGUCCAGACUCCUACGGGAGGCAGCAGUGAGGAAUCUUCCACAAUGGGCGAAAGCCUGAUGGAGCAACGCCGCGUGCAGGACGAAGGCCUUCGGGUUGUAAACCGCUUUUAUAAGUGAGGAAUAUGACGGUAACUUAUGAAUAAGGAUCGGCUAACUACGUGCCAGCAGCCGCGGUCAUACGUAGGAUCCGAGCGUUAUCCGGAGUGACUGGGCGUAAAGAGUUGCGUAGGUGGUUGUAUAAGUGAAUAGUGAAAUCUGGUGGCUCAACCAUACAGGCUAUUAUUCAAACUGUACAACUCGAGAAUGGUAGAGGUCACUGGAAUUUCUUGUGUAGGAGUGAAAUCCGUAGAUAUAAGAAGGAACACCGAUGGCGUAGGCAGGUGACUGGACCAUUUCUGACACUAAGGCACGAAAGCGUGGGGAGCGAACCGGAUUAGAUACCCGGGUAGUCCA